UCUUUCCACGAGAUGUAUGGCGAUGAAAUUAAGGCCAGGGGCUCUGAGGGCAGAAGAGAAGGCUGGUGCCACUUGUAUGCCCUGGAGAAGCAGUGAGAUGAAGAGCACAGCCUCUAGAGCCAGAGUGUCUGGAUCUAAAAUUGGCUCUGCCAACAGAAUUCAAAAUUAAGGAUGCCAUGGAAAGCAAGGUGAAAAAGGCAGGGGUGUACACAUCAAUCCCAGAUCCAGGGAGCCAACAUCUUUAAGUAGACUUCUUCAGAUGGCCCAUGGGGUACCACAGAGCUUACAGAACAACUUAAGAUCGCUCAAAACCAGAGUCAAAAGACAUCCCUGCCACGCAGCACAUAGAUUUAUAACUCUGGUCAAAGGUUUCGACAAAUAUAGAUUUCUUCAAUCCGAAGUCCAUCUGUGUGUAUUCCCAGAAAUAAAGAACAGUGCAUGUCU